UUGGAGGGCAAGUCUGGUGCCAGCAGCCGCGGUAAUUCCAGCUCCAAUAGCGUAUAUUAAAGUUGUUGCAGUUAAAAAGCUCGUAGUUGAAUUUCGGGGUCAGUAGGUUGGUCGUGCCACCGGUACGUACUGGUCUCACUGAUUCCUCCUUCCUGAUGAGCUGUAAUGCCAUUAAUUUGGUGUUGCAGGGAAUCUGGACUGUUACUUUGAAAAAAUUAGAGUGUUUAAAGCAGGCUAACGCUUGAAUACAUUAGCAUGGAAUAAUGAAAUAGGACGUUCGAUCCUAUUUUGUUGGUUUCUAGGAUUGACGUAAUGAUUAAUAGGGAUAGUUGGAGGCAUUAGUAUUCAAUUGUCAGAGGUGAAAUUCUUGGAUUUAUUGAAGACUAACUACUGCGAAAGCAUUUGCCAAGGAUGUUUUCAUUAAUCAAGAACGAAAGUUAGGGGAUCGAAGACGAUCAGAUACCGUCGUAGUCUUAACCAUAAACUAUGCCGACUAGGGAUCGGAUGAUGUUAAUUUUUUAAUGACUCAUUCGGCGCCUUACGGGAAAC
rnacentral:rRNA from 1 species